UCUUGUUGUUGUUGUUCCUGGUUGA
rnacentral:piRNA from 1 species